rnacentral:tRNA from 1 species
UCUAAUAUGGCAGAUUAGUGUAAUGGAUUUAAGCCCCAUAUAUAAAGUAUUUUACUUUUAUUAGAA